CCCAGGCCUGCUCGGGCCCACCUCGUCGGAGACGAGCAGGAACCGCCUCCUCUCCUUUGCAUAUCGGCGAAGUGUAGUUCUCAAGAGCAUUGUGGGGCCGGUUGCUGCCCGAAUCUCUCUAGGGAAUGGGACCGAGUUGGGGACCCAGACUCCCUGGCCUUCAUGGCCACAGUCCUGUCGCCGCCCCACCAAAAGCCAAUCUCUAACAGCCCAGACACGUUUCGGACCGGGACCCACGCACAGGCCCCUCCCCGGUCUUGGAAGGCCCUUCCUCUGAGAACAAAGAGAUGUUGGGCCAGAUCAUCUUCCACGCUUCUUCAGCUCCGAGAUAGGAACGCGGUUCCCCACCACUCACAGGCCGGCUGCUCCUCACCCAUCCGGUCUCACUGGGACGCCACGUUCCUCAGGGAAGAAUCUGGAACGAUGAAGGUGAUGUUUGUGCCUGUGGCCAAGACCGGGAGAACCCUGGACCCCUACACCUUCCCCACCCCUGGAAUGUCACUAUACAUAUCUGACUUCUUCUGAUGUUGCCUUUGACCCUAAAGUCAAUAUGAUAAAGUAACAAGAAGCUGGGACAGAGGAACAAACACAGCCCACUCAAGCAGUGGUGGCAACAUUCUGUUAGAAAGGAAGGGAGUCAAAGAAAAAAACACCCCUCCGCCCAUCUCCUUAUCACCUCCCUAAAGACAGAGGAGAACAUGGACACCCUCCAUCCUGACAGAAUGCCAUGUGGUCAGUUUGUGCGGU
rnacentral:antisense_RNA from 1 species